CAGGGGCGUUGCACAAGAUCCCGGGCCCUAUGCAUAGGCAGUCCUGAUGGGGCCCCAUGGCCCCGCCCAUGAAAAUAUCCAAGACCACAGGUAUACGGCCCAUCAAGGUUUUAAAGCCACCUGUCCACAGGGCUGUCAGUCAUUGUUACACUAGCAGCGCUGAUGCCAGUCAUAACGCUGAAAGGAUACUACGACAAAGAUAACACUUUCAUCUUCUGAAAACUGAUGGCAAACUUGUUAUUGUCAAUAACAGUAAACCACUUUUAUUGUUCUUUUAUGGUCCUUUAAACAUGAAUACUGCUCAUUCCCAUUCAUGGAAUGAAAAAGAGCAAAAAAGUCAGACAGUUAACAAGAUUUGUAACUAUUCAUGAGCUAUAAGUGCUUAAGGGCACAAUGGUAACACCUCAUGUCUUAUCCUGUGUAGGUUUCAAACCUACAGUGUUUUAGCAUCCAGCCUAGAUCAUUAACCAAUACCGCACAUUACUGUAUAGCAUCACUGUCAUGAAAGUAUGACAACAUUUCCAAAAUGAUGCACAUGAAAAACAGUUGGGUUUUAUGCCUGAUUUACCCUC